UAUAGGUAACAUAAAAUAGUUAAAUAUAAUGUUUGGAGAGCAAUGCAUAUGCAAUAGAAACACAUAGAGCUCUUAAUGAAGUCGGACGAAUUAUGUAUAUUCACUGGUGCACGUUUUGCUUUUGCAGAUUAUAUUCAUUUAGCGUUACAAAACUUUUAUAUAAUUGCUCUUUUCCAUUCUGGUUUUUUAUCAAUGCGGAGAAAAGAGACCGUCUGACCUAUACCGAACGUAUACAUGGAAAAUCGACAAAUUCUCACAGAUUAAUAAGAGAGAACUUCGUAGCAAUGAUUUUGCGGUUGGUGGCUACAUAUGGUACAUCUUGAUCUACCCACAGGGAUGUGAUGUCUGCAACUUUUUGUCGUUAUUUCUUUGUGUUGCAGAGCACGACAUGCUUCUUCCCGAAAGAGCAUUACUGGGGCUGGAAAAAGUUUAUGGAAUUAUCCAAAGUGAUCAGGAAAUGUUGAUGUUACUAUCAGUUUUGAAAACAAAAUUUAGUUUCGAAAGAGGUUUUGGGGUUUUAUAAGAGUGUUCGUAUGAUGGAUUCCACACAUCAUAUCGAGGUUUUUUUAUUCGAACCCGAUUAUUAGAGGUUAGGUGACCUUACAUAGUGGCUUGGAUAAUCAAGUUGUUGAGCACUCCCGCGUUUUCACGAGAUGAGUCGGAUGACGAGUCUGGAGACAUUCUUACAAAAAAAAUAGAGAGAAUUGAAAGUGUUGAAGGUUUAGAAUGUUUUGUGACUUGUGAUUGGGUUGAAUGAGAUUUGGCUGAAUUAUUUAUGUUUAAAUAUAUAAAGAUUUUUUUUUUUUAAAUUAUGACCGUUGGCAACGGUCAUCACCAUCAAACUCACCACUUUUCAAGUUUUGGCGCUCCCCAAGCAGAUCGUGAAGCGGGCUAUAGCGUCCUCCUUUAGCGGAAACAGGCCGGUGUUGAGACGCCAUCGUGGCAUGGCGCGCUACCCCAAACAGAUAUGAAAACACACAAACAAAUCAUGAAAUGUGAAAACAUAUAAUUAAACUAGAUGCUAGUAGAACUUGGAAAAUUUUCUUAUUACGGUCAGUGUACUA